rnacentral:misc_RNA from 1 species
GAUGAAGAACGUAGCGAAAUGCGAUAAGUAGUGUGAAUUGCAGAAUUCAGUGAAUCAUCGAAUCUUUGAACGCACAUUGCGCCCUUUGGUAUUCCAAAGGGCAUGCCUGUUCGAGCGUCAAUUGUACCCUCAAGCUUUGCUUGGUGUUGGGCGUCUUGUCUCUAGCUUUGCUGGAGACUCGCCUUAAAGUAAUUGGCAGCCGGCCUACUGGUUUCGGAGUGCAGCACAAGUCGCACUCUCUAUCAGCAAAGGUCUAGCAUCCACUAAGCCUUUUUUUCAACUUUUGACCUCGGAUCAGGUAGGGAUACCCGCUGAACUUAAGCAUAUCAAUAAGCGGAGGA